UCAUAGCCCCGAUGGCAGUGGCAUCCUUUGCCGACGGGGUUCGGCGGGAAAGAUAUAACGAACAGCGGGACCCGUG
rnacentral:sRNA from 1 species